GGCCCCUUUUGGGGGGGCUUGCUGAAGAAGCCAUGCUGAGGGGACGAGGCUGAGGGCUCUGCUCCUGGCCCGGCCUGGCCUUCCUUCAAGCCUCCGCCCCCACAACCUCCCUCUUCUGCCUCAGACCAAAGGGGACGCGCACAGGACGAGGCCCGGCAAGGCGAAGACCCCCGUGCGCUGCAGCCCCCCAAGCCUGAAGACGGGAAGUUCCAAAGUGCCAGCCGAGAGAUGGAAGGAAAGCGGAGAUCAGAAUGACGGGAAAAGUCACCAGAGCAUCACCAGCUUCCUACUGCUCCACUUCAGAGCACGCCCUGGGUCCAAGUGUUACUGUGGUUGUUGUCAUGCGCCAUCAAGUCGUCUCCGACUCAGGGCAAGUCUGGGAAUGAGCGAUCUCCAGAAUCUCCUGUCCUCAACAGCUCUGCUCUGCUCUUAGAAACUCAAGCCAGUGGUUUCUUUUUUGGGAGUCAGUCCAUCUCAUAUUUCAUCUUCCUCUCUUCCUACCGCGUUUCCGCCUUUCCCAGCACUGUUGUUGUUUUUCCAGAGAAUCCUACCUUCUUGGGGUGUGCCUAAACAGCUUCUGUUUCAUCAGUUUUGCUUCCAGAGAGAGAGUUCAGGCUUGAUUUCCGCCUUUCCCAGCACUGUUGUUGUUUUUCCAGAGAAUCCUACCUUCUUGGGGUGUGCCUAAACAGCUUCUGUUUCAUCAGUUUUGCUCCCAGAGAGAGAGUUCAGGCUUGCUCCUCACUUAACAACUAACAACCCAGGUUUCACCUCGUUUUACACACACACACACACACACACACACACACACACACACACACACACAUACACACACACACACGAGGGCCCUUUUUGUUGUUUUCUUCUUUUCUUUUUGUUUUGGUGGUCUGUGUGAGUACAAGUUCUGCUUUGCACGGCCAACCUACUCCUGUAGCCUUGAAGGCUUCCAAGAAAUGUAAUUACAGGCAGCACGUUGUGCCUGGAGAUUUCGGAGGCGGUAAAGGGCACUCCCUCUCACCCUGAAGCUCUCCAUUCUUCCCGCAAAAGGCUGUAUAAUCGCAAAAGGCUUUAUAAUCUGUUGCUAAGGCAGGGACUCUGUUGAAAACAGUGUUCUCUCUCUCCCCCCCCCUCUGAUUGUGUUUAUGACCAGGU
rnacentral:lncRNA from 1 species